AAGUCGUAACAAGGUCUCCGUUGGUGAACCAGCGGAGGGAUCAUUACUGGAAUCGCAAGAUCCCACAACCCUCGUGAACCUACCGAAACGUUGCCUCGGCGGGCGCCCGGCCCUGCGCCGGGCGUUCAGCCCGCCGGUGGCCCACUACUCUGUCUCUGCAGCGUGGCAUCUCCGAGAAUACAAAAACAAGUAAAAACUUUUAACAACGGAUCUCUUGGCUCUA
rnacentral:misc_RNA from 1 species